rnacentral:rRNA from 1 species
AUUGAACGCUGGCGGCAGGCCUAACACAUGCAAGUCGAACGAGCGGCGGACGGGUGAGAAAUGUAUGGGAACUGCCCGAAAGAGGGGGAUCACUACUGGAAACGGUAGCUAAUAACGAGUAAUAUCGGAUAACACAUAUGGGAUUAGCUAGUAGGUGAGGUAAUGGCUCACCUAGGCGAUGAUACCUAGCUGGUCUGAAAGGAUGAUCAGCCACACUGGGACUGAGACACGGCCCAGACUCCUACGGAGGCAGCAGUGGGGAAUAUUGCACAAUGGGCGCAAGCCGGAUGCAGCCAUGCCGCGUGUAUGAAGAAGGCCCUAGGGUUGUAAAGUACUUUCAGUCGGGAGGCGUUACCGACAGAAGAAGCACCGGCUAACUCCGUGCCAGCAGCCGCGGUAAUAC